GCACCCAUGUCGGCUGCGACACCUCGCAAUGCGGCGCCUGUGUCGUCCAUCUCGACGGCAAGGCCGUGAAGUCGUGCACCACGCUGGCGGUGAUGGCCGACGGGCACGAGGUCAAGACCAUCGAGGGUCUUGCUGCCGACGGCGCUCCGCUGCACCNGCAGGAAGCCUUCCGCGAGCAUCACGGAUUGCAGUGCGGCUUCUGCACGCCGGGCAUGAUCAUGACGGCGGUCGAUCUCGUGCAUCGCAAGGGCCACGACCUGAGCGACGAAGUGAUCCGGGAAGAACUCGAAGGUAAUUUGUGCCGUUGCACCGGUUACCAGAACAUCGUCUUGUCGAUCGCAGCCGGCGCCAAGGC
rnacentral:misc_RNA from 1 species